GCAUGAGGCAGAACUUCCAUGAUCUAUAAGUUCAGUGAAGUUUUGAACACAAAAUCCUGAAGACAAGAGGUUUCAAAUGUUGUAGUGAGUUGUGAAGGAUAAGUUAGAAGGAAAUGCCUACCUAGCCACACUGGAAAGGAAGUUUGGUUUCCAAAUCAUCUCAAUCCAUCGGCUCAAGCAGGAAUAUUUAGAAGAAGGAGCACAAGAAAGAGGACACCCUUAACAGAAAAGUUAUUCAUUUCCAAGUUAAGACUCAUCAAGGGAUAAAAUCUGAAAACUUAUAAAGGAUACUUAUUACAGAAAAAAUUUAAGGGGAAACUGGUGCUGUGGAGAGACCCAUGUGGAAAGGAACUGAGGACUCCCGGCAAAAGUCACCAAGGACCGAGGUUGCUGACAGCUGCAUGUGAACUCGGAAGCAGAUCAAUCCUUGCCCAAGCCCACACUUUGUCUACAGCCUUGGUGAGAGACCCUGAGCCA
rnacentral:lncRNA from 10 species